CGACAGGGAGCGGAACCCGAAAGCCUGUCUCAGUUCGGAUUGGAGUCUGCAACCCGACUCCAUGAAGCUGGAUUCGCUAGUAAUCGCGCAUCAGCCACGGCGCGGUGAAUACGUUCCCGGGCCUUGUACACACCGCCCGUCAAGCCAUGGGAGUCGGGAGUGCCUGAAGUGCGUGAGCGCGAACAGCGCCCUAGGGCAAAACCGAUGACUGGGGCUAAGUCGUAACAAGGUAAC
rnacentral:rRNA from 1 species